AAGAAUGACUUCUCACCCAGUGUGUUGUUAAUAUGGCCUCACCAAGGCUAGGAGGAGCUUUAGGAUAAGCAGCUUCUCUGAGACCUGAUAUCAGUUGCUUGGGCUUCCUGUAAGAUUUCCAGGUCUUAGGACCCAGCUUCUUUGAGAACUUCCUCCUAAGAGAACUGAGGAGAUGAAUCAGUGGAUCAAAUGCUUGCUGCACAAGCAUGAGGAACAGUUUACAGAUCCUCAGCACCCAGAUUAGAUGUAACCUCUCAGCUACUGUUCUGAUGCCAAGCUUGUCUGCCUGUUGCCAUGCUCCCCAUCAUGAUGAUCAUGGACUCACCCUCUGAAACCAUAAGCAAGCCUCCAUCAAGUUAAAUGCUUUGAAUAUGGUGUCUCCUUACAGAUAUAGAAGACCACCUUCACAAGAUCAAGCCAGCCAAAAUCCCAAUAUGGGUGGAAGAGAGUCUCAUGAAGCCUCACAUCUAGCUGAGAAGCUACUGACAAAUGGAUGUCCACUGAGGAAGAGUCACCUAUCUUCAGAAAUAGGAGCCCUGAAGUUACCCAUACUCCAGUAGAUGGUCCCACCCUCAUCCAUUCAGACAGUACUACAUGAAUUCAGCUCCCAAAAGCAGGCAGCAGACUGCAACCAUGAAGGCUCUUGGUGCCCUCUGGAGGAAUUUUCAGGCAUUGCAGAAGCCUAGCCAGAAUGGAGAAUAUUUUGUUCAGCUCACUUAACAGACCCAGUGAAAGCAGAAUCGUAGCCACAGGUAGGGAAGAUGGGGUUUAUGGGGUCAAGGGAGCUUCUUGAAGAUUGGAAAAAAGUCCUCUGAGGACUGGAGCAAGGGCUUAGAAGAAGGAUGCAGGGAGAGUGUACAGGCAGACUGUCAUGGCAGAUGGACAGAGCAAGUGCAACACACUAGAUCUGAGGGAACUGGGAACC